rnacentral:lncRNA from 1 species
AGAGAGAUGAGAGAGUUAUUUAGAGAGAGAAAGUGAGGAUUUCUCUCACUACCACCAUGAACGUGUGGUGUUGUGGGGGUGGUGGUGGUUGUGAAGAAGAAGACUAGAAGCUUCUACUUAUAGCCCACACCCCAAUAGUAGCAUACACUAUUUACUUCAGGCAGUUCGAAAUCUGAUAUCUUUCGUCGGAGCUCUCUGAAUAUCCGUUUGAGCUCAAAUUUGAUAGUCAUGUUCGGUUUUGCUUAACUUAACGAAAGAAAUUUUAAUCUUUCAGUUUCGACCCCGUUUGGUCACCGAAAGCUGUACCGAACUGUAAUCUUUAUCAGACAAUUGUCGGAUUUUAUUUUCCACCUUCCGGGUGUCAGAAUGAUAUAAAACUUUAAAUCUAGUCUAAUAAAAAUAAUUCUGACUUAUCCUCCAGUUUUCAUAAUUUUUUGACACUCUGCAUUUUCUACUAAUUUAUCUGUCUCGUUUCACACAGAAAAUUUUAAAUAUUCUGUUUUCGCUCCGAUUUCAGUACAAGUCAUUUCUAACCUAUAUUUCACUUCUCUAAAUUCAAUAAAAAUAGUAUCUCAUACUAUUUUUAUUUAUUUUCACUUUUAUAUUUAAAAUCCGGUAUGUUACAUUCCACCGCAACCUCACCGGAACCAUUUAAAUGUACACCGUAAUUUCAUAAUUUUAAAAGUCCGGUACCCUACAGAAAAUUUGCUACAAUUUGAACUACUU